CUCCUGUAUAAUUUCCACUAAUUAGAACCAGACCAAACCAAUUAUUUCAUGUUUGCUCCGUGUCCUUUCUUACGAGUAGAACCGAUGGUUCCAUUUCGAUAAUCCCAACAAAAAUCGGCCCAAUCAAGUUCUUAAAAAACCCAAACAGAACAACCUAGCACCCACACCAAUACUAUGUCCAUUUCUAGCCUUCAAAUGGACCUCAUGCUUUAAACUUCCAUUUUUUUGGUCGUCUCAAUAACAUUUGUAGCAUUUUGUUUAAACAAAAAUACAAAAUGUUUUUGAAAUAUUUGUUAACCCCAUAAAACAGUAAACCUGACAAUACACGGAAGAAUUUCCAUACCGUAACAUGUUUACAACAUCGUCUUUCAUCGAGAACACGUGGUUUAAGAUAUUUGUAAUACUGCUAUGUGCUGCUAACAGUUAGACGAAUGGGAGCUUGGAGCACCCAAUCCCUAUUUUGCAGCAAAGAAAAAUUGAUUAUUUAAUACUUCUCCAAAAAGGCCAUGUCGACUUAAUUUUUUGUGUUUAUUCGAACAAAACCAGAAAGGACUCGCUGCUUCAAAACAAAUGCCUGUGAUUGAUUACAAAAGAACCGACGAUUUUAUAUAUCCUCUGGGCCAUUGAUCUCCUGUUCACCAUUAAAAGAGAAUUAACCAAGAAUUAGUUAAUAGUUAAAUAACAAUUUAAUUCUGAAAUAGACUGCUCAAUUGUUUUAUAUUACCUUGUUAAAUACAAAUAGCAAUUUUA
rnacentral:lncRNA from 1 species